rnacentral:lncRNA from 1 species
AGUUUAAAUUUUCCUUUUAAUGAUUUUUAAGAUCUAAACACGCCCCCCAUGGAAACCAGCCUAGAGUUGAUGGGGCUAGCGUGUUCUUCUUUCUGUUAAUUUUAAAUAAAGUAUUACCUACCUACCUACCUACCUACCUUAUAUUCAUGUAUAUACCUUUGUGAUAUACACAGAUUUAUUACUAAAAAAACAACACUACUGUAUAUGAUAAUAUAGAACACACAAAGUGCA